GCUGCCCCCGCUCAGCCCCUCUCCCACCCGCCCGGCCCGGCGCGGCCCCGACCUGCCGCCGGCCCGGCCGAGUACCGAGCACCGGGAACCGAGCACCGCGAGCCGGGAACCGAGCACCGACUACCGCCGCCAGCGCCCGCCCCUUCCUGCCCAGCCCGGCCUGCCCGCCGGCACUGCGCCAUCGGCGCGGCCAAGCCACAGUGUAUUACCCAGUCACUAUCCAAAAUCAGGAGCUAGCCAGGUAAGGAGUAAAAUACAGAUGGUUUCUCAGCAAGAAUCCCAUGGAAGGAAGGAAUGAAAGAAGGAAGGGAAGAAUCACUAAUCCCAAAAAGCCAGAUGAGGUCAAUGUUAGCAGCAGAAGACACACAGUACCACACUGGUAGCCUCAAGUGCUCCUGAAUGCUCACACUGCCUGUACCGCCAAGUCCCAGCCCCUCCCUCCCGGAGAGGAGCAGCAGAAAGAAAUGAAACAACUGGAGAUGAGGAGAGCAGGGAGUUCAGGAAGGCUCUAAUCUCAUGAACUCGCUGGAAGGGGAUGAGGUGAGAAGAACUUGUUCUUAUUUGCUGAGAAAUAGAAGGUUUGUCGUAAGCAAACUUCGUCAAAGUGCCUGAGCACUGCUGCGUUUCUGCUGAUGUGGCAUGUGGUGGUGCUUGAUGGACUUUUGGAUGACCCCAAAUUUUAGGAGCCUGAAUAUCUCUCUGUUGCAGAAGCUGGUAUCAAAGUGCGGGAAUGUCUGGAAGUAGGUUGGUGAACUGCAAGACUCAUUUAUCUUUAAAAAGAAAAUAUUCUUUUGCAUUUCAUAUAACUCUUUGUCAGCAAGUUCAUGCUGCUAAAAAGAUCCGGGAAAGUAGAAAACAGACUUGCCACUAUUACAAUAGUUUAGAAGCUUCAAAUUUGCUCUGUCAGUUCCCAUGUCCAAAAUGGAAAUGUCUUUAAAUUGCCUGAUUCCUAAUUACUAGAACAAUAUAAAAAUACCUUGCAGAUGUUGGAAGUUGGAACAGACGCGAAGAGGGACAACUACACUCCUAACAGAAAAAGGUGAAAACUAGUUGGGAUGAAUCUAUGCUUCAUGUCUAACUACUCUGUGUUCUACCAGUGGAUGGGGGUGACUUGUCUGUGUCUUUUGUCUUUUGUGCUGGAAAAAUAGUUUUUUGUUGUCCUCCACUGACAAAGUUUUCAGCCAAGCCCUGAUUCCGGCUCCGCUUUGUCUCUGGUGUCACGAGUGAUGCUCCCUGGCUGGCAUAUGCCUUGUGCUUAUCUGCCCAUUAAUGCUCCUCUGGCUAAUUACUGCCUCAUUAAUCAUUUGCAAUCAGUUUAUGUACUCACGCUGUUUUCCCGAUUUUAGUGUGUUUGCAUAACAAAAUGUGUUUCUAUGAAAUGCUUUGUAUGGAAUUGUUUAUAGCAGGAAAUAGAUAUAAAAGAA